UCCCUUAUAGCUCAGUUGGUAAAGAAUCUGACUGCAAUGCAGGAGACCCAGGUUCGAUUCCUGGGUUGGGAA
rnacentral:tRNA from 1 species